UGCUUAACACAUGCAAGUCGAACGGAGCACCUUGACUGAGGUUUCGGCCAAUGAUAGAAUGCUUAGUGCGGACUGGUGAGUAACGCGUGAGGAACCUGCCUUCCAGAGGGGGACAACAGUUGGAAACGACUGCUAAUACCGCAUGACGCAUGACCGGGGCAUCCCGGGCAUGUCAAAGAUUUUAUCGCUGGAAGAUGGCCUCGCGUCUGAUUAGCUAGAUGGUGGGGUAACGGCCCACCAUGGCGACGAUCAGUAGCCGGACUGAGAGGUUGACCGGCCACAUUGGGACUGAGAUACGGCCCAGACUCCUACGGGAGGCAGCAGUGGGGAAUAUUGGGCAAUGGACGCAAGUCUGACCCAGCAACGCCGCGUGAAGGAAGAAGGCUUUCGGGUUGUAAACUUCUUUUGUCAGGGAAGAGUAGAAGACGGUACCUGACGAAUAAGCCACGGCUAACUACGUGCCAGCAGCCGCGGUAAUACGUAGGUGGCAAGCGUUGUCCGGAUUUACUGGGUGUAAAGGGCGUGCAGCCGGGCCGGCAAGUCAGAUGUGAAAUCUGGAGGCUUAACCUCCAAACUGCAUUUGAAACUGUAGGUCUUGAGUACCGGAGAGGUUAUCGGAAUUCCUUGUGUAGCGGUGAAAUGCGUAGAUAUAAGGAAGAACACCAGUGGCGAAGGCGGAUAACUGGACGGCAACUGACGG
rnacentral:rRNA from 1 species